rnacentral:tRNA from 1 species
GGUGGUUCCCGAGCGGCCAAAGGGAGCAGACUGUAAAUCUGCCGUCAUCGACUUCGAAGGUUCGAAUCCUUCCCCCACCACCA